rnacentral:lncRNA from 1 species
CGGGCACCAUGGCUCGCGCCGCAUCCGGUGGUAAGUCUGGGCUAUUACGCGGAGAAGAGGAAGAGAGGAGAGAGUCCUUGCUGUAGCUGGUCGUGUGAGCAGCAGCUAUGACAUCCGAUCUCGUUCGCGGCGGCGAGGGCGUGGCGCGAAGAGGUGAAAGUACUCCCUUCUCGCAUACGAAUAGAGGAAGAAGAGAGAGCCUGGCGGUGACCGGCAUCGUCGCUGACGGUCCUGAUA